UCUAGAGGAAAAAAGGUAAUACUUUUCUAAGGAAACCUUUACCUAUUGGCGGCCUAUUUUCUUUUUAGAGGAACUCGUCCCGUAAUCGUUAAUCCUCGUUAAUUUUUACUUUUUUUUUCUCUUAUACCGCCGUCUAAAGAUUAAAUUUUUAUUCAUAAAAAAAUCAUUUUAUCAAGUCAGGUAAAGGUGAGGAAUUAUAAAAAAGAGAAGAUAAGUUACUUAUAAAAAUUAUUUAUGAAUAUUUCUUUAAAAUUUUAAUUGAAAAAGGAUUUAAGAGUAAUUUUUUAAUAAUAAUUUAUAAUGAAUUAGUAAAUCAGGUGU
rnacentral:rRNA from 1 species